AUUGUUUUCGUUCAGUUACUUUUUAACUCAACUGUGAGAGUGUGGUAUGUCUGCCCUGAUUUCUGUGUAGUUUCAGUGUGCAUAUAUUCACUUACUACCAACCUUUUACAUCUUUUGAUAUCCAAAAAGGUCUCCUAUUCAUCUCAAACUUGUUACUUUGCAACAGCGAUGGCAGAUUGUGUGCUUGUGUAUCUACUUUUUGUGUGUGGAGUCUUUCAAACAGGUGCAGCAGCAAUGAUCCAAACACAGCAGACUGUGCUGGCAGCAGUGGGAGAAGAUGCUGAAUUCAGCUGUCAGCUCUUGGAGACUAAAGACGUCCUUCAGGUCACAUGGCAGAAAAUUUCAGCUGCUGGAGAGACAAAUGUUGCCACUUACAACAAGUACUUUGGUCAGAGAGUGAAUGACAGCUUUACAGAUAAAGUUAAGUUUAAACAUACUGGACUACAGAACUGCUCCCUAGUCAUCAGGAAUGUGACAGAGCAGGAUGAAAGAUGCUAUCGCUGUUUGUUUAACACUUAUCCUGAAGGAGCCUUCACAGGUAGAACCUGCCUCCAAGUCUAUGAGCUGCAUGAACCUGUUGUUGAUGUCAGAGAGUCAAACUCUACUGAAGAGUGGGUUGUUUCCUGUUCAGCCACUGGUCGACCUGCUCCCACUGUAACACUCAGCGUCUCACAACAACACCUCAACUUCUCACAGUACAACACUGUCAGUGUGUCCAACACCAACGCUACAUUCACUGUCACCACUACAGCUGUGCUCUCAGGUUCAUGUAAACACAGCACACAGGUGGGAUGUGCAGCACGAGUGCUCUCUGCUCCUCACAGAGAGGUGAUGGUGAUGAUUCCUGAGGUCCAGCAGGUGUAUGCUGCUGCUACUGCUGAUUAUAAUGUUUCCUUCUGGAUCAUUGCAUCAGGUGUAGCAGUGGGACUGAUAGUCUUUGCCUGUGUAGCCACUUUCAUAGCUGUCCUGCUUAAAAAAAACCCAAAAAACAACAAGAGGGACCCUGAGAACAACAAAUAAAAUACCACAAAAAUCAGCCAAUGACAUUAACGACUGAUGACCCCUCCACAUCUUUACUUCUCUAAAACUCAGCUUCCAUCUAAGGGUCUUUAUAUACGUUUUAUACAGCUCAAUGUAAAAUGUUUAUCUUGUUUUAAGCACUUUAAGAAACAAUACAAAUCGUUUGUUGCCGCUGUCCAAAAUGUUCUGCAAUGUGUUGCUGAAAUGAAAUGCAUUUUUUAUAGCAAUAAAAUAUCUAAAAUUUAAUAUUUUAUAUCUUGCCGUUAUACCAUGUGAGUUACAUGCACACUUUAAAUGCAUGGCAUUUUUUACUGUUAAACUGAAUACAGUUGAACAGCAGUUAAAUACAGUGUAACAAGGAUCACCUAAAACCAUCAGCUGUAACUCAGACGUAGACAUAAAUACAUGCCUCAGAGUAACACAAAGUUGCUAUGUAUACACUUCUGUAACUUCUGGUAAACUUAUUUUAAAAAAUGUACCUGACAUAUAUCCUAUAUCCCAUCCUCUGCUCUGUCUAAAGCUGUAGAAACAUUAAAAUAAUUUGGCAGAAGACUGAUGAUGGUGAAAAUUAUGGUAAAAUGAUUUUUACUUCACUAAUAUUCUACUUUGUAUUCAUGGUGCUUAAAUAAUUCAGUAAAAAAAAGGAGUUUGUGGUUGACUCAGUGACUAUGAGCUGCCAAGGGCCCUGUACUGUGAAGCUAGUUAAGAAGAGAAGUGAUCAUCAGUAAGGAAUAUGACUUUAUUCUGAGAAAGAGGAAUACAGAUGUGACGUUUGCUUUGAGAGUGUUGAUAGAGAAGAAUAUAGAAGGUCAGAAUGAGUUUCACUGAGUAUUUUUGGAUCUAGAGGAUCUAGAGAAGUAUGUGAGGAUGGGCCAGGUCAUGAGACAUAAGGAUGUGAGACAGUGCUGAGGCGUAGGUUUUACUGACAGGUAGGUUCAGGAGAUGAGAUUACAUCAGUGAUCAGCUCUGAGCCCCUUCUUGUUUCCAAUGGUGAUGUGGGUGACUGAUGAGAUGAGGCAGGAGUCUAUGUGAACUAUGAUGUUUGCAGAUGACACUGUGAUCUGUGGUGACAGUAGGGAGCAGAUGCAGAGCCUGGAGCGGUGGAGGCAUGCAUUGUAGAGAAGAGGAAUAAAAGACAGUAGAAGCAAGAUAAAUACAUGUGUGUGAAUGAGAGAGAGAGACAGGUGGAAAGGUGAACAUGCGAGGAGUACAGACCUGGGGUCAGCCAUCAGGAGGACUUGCAGUGUUGGUGUGACAGAGGAGCAUGCUGGGAAUAGACGGAGCUGGAGGGAGAUGAUCUGCUAUGUUGACCUUGAACAGGAGGAACUGUUUUAUGCAUGACUGUAAUGAAAAUAUUUUUCAUGUUGUUAUCUUUUAUAUUUUAAAUAAAGGAUUUGUACUUA